UACGAAGGGGCUAGCGUUGUUCGGAAUUACUGGGCGUAAAGCGCGCGCAGGCGGUUUUUCAAGUCAGUGGUGAAAGCCCGGAGCUCGAACUCCGGAACUGCCAUUGAAACUGUGAACUUGAGGAUGAGAGAGGUGAGUGGAAUUCCAGUGUAGAGGUGAAAUUCGUAGAUAUUGGGAAGAACACCGGUGGCGAAGGCGGCUCACUGGCUCAUUUCUGACGCUCAGGCGCGACAGCGUGGGAUCGAAACAGG
rnacentral:rRNA from 1 species